UGGCCGUAAACGAUACUCGCUAGGUGUCGGCCACGGUGCGACCGUUGUCGGUGCCGUAGGGAAGCCGUGAAGCGAGCCACCUGGGAAGUACGGCCGCAAGGCUGAAACUUAAAGGAAUUGGCGGGGGAGCACCACAACGGGUGGAGCUUGCGGUUUAAUUGGAUUCAACGCCGGAAAUCUUACCGGGACCGACAGCAACAUGAAGGCCAGGCUGAAGACUUUGCCGGAUUAGCUGAGAGGAGGUGCAUGGCGUAGUCGUGU
rnacentral:rRNA from 1 species